AAUAGAUACCCCGGUAGUCCACGCCGUAAACGGUGGGUACUAGGUGUGGGUUUCCUUCCUUGGGAUCCGUGCCGUAGCUAACGUAUUAAGUACCCCGCCUGGGGAGUACGGCCGCAAGGCUAAAACUCAAAGGAAUUGACGGGGGGCCCGCACAAGCGGCGGAGCAUGUGGAUUAAUUCGAUGCAACGCGAAGAACCUUACCUGGGUUUGACAUGCACAGGACGCCGGGCAGAGAUGUCGGUUCCCUUGUGGCCUGUGUGCAGGUGGUGCAUGGCUGUCGUCAGCUCGUGUCGUGAGAUGUUGGGUUAAGUCCCGCAACGAGCGCAACCCUUGUCUCAUGUUGCCAGCACGUUAUGGUGGGGACUCGUGAGAGACUGCCGGGGUCAACUCGGAGGAAGGUGGGGAUGACGUCAAGUCAUCAUGCCCUUUAUGUCCAGGGCUUCACACAUGCUACAAUGGCCGGUACAAAGGGCUGCGAUGCCGUGAGGUGGAGCGAAUCCUUUCAAAGCCGGUCUCAGUUCGGAUCGGGGU
rnacentral:rRNA from 1 species